GCGAACGCUGGCGGCAGGCUUAACACAUGCAAGUCGCACGGGCAUCUUCGGAUGUCAGUGGCAGACGGGUGAGUAACACGUGGGAACGUACCCUUCGGUUCGGAAUAACUCAGGGAAACUUGAGCUAAUACCGGAUACGCCCUUUUGGGGAAAGGUUUACUGCCGAAGGAUCGGCCCGCGUCUGAUUAGCUUGUUGGUGGGGUAACGGCCUACCAAGGCGACGAUCAGUAGCUGGUCUGAGAGGAUGAUCAGCCACACUGGGACUGAGACACGGCCCAGACUCCUACGGGAGGCAGCAGUGGGGAAUAUUGGACAAUGGGCGCAAGCCUGAUCCAGCCAUGCCGCGUGAGUGAUGAAGGCCUUAGGGUUGUAAAGCUCUUUUGUCCGGGACGAUAAUGACGGUACCGGAAGAAUAAGCCCCGGCUAACUUCGUG
rnacentral:rRNA from 1 species